rnacentral:lncRNA from 1 species
CAACAGGAUCAAAAUUUGGGUUAGACUAAGUGCCUAAAUCAUCCAACCGGUACUGGCUACCUCAUCAAUUCGUAAUCCGACUGAUCGGUUGGGUCCGGUCCUUAUAACAUUGAUAAAGAGACCUAACUCAUUGUCGUGUGUGACACUACCAGUUAGUAGCUAACCGGGCGCCUGCACCACCAGAAACACUUUUUUUGUCGGAACAAUUUAAAAAAAAAAUUGAUUUACAGAAAUUCACAUUACCGAGAGCUGAAGUCUGAGUUUUCCUUAUAUAUAAACAUUGUGGCCUACUAAGAAGAAAACAACUGUACAGAACCUAUAGGCAAAUAAACAAUGACGUGCAUAGUGUAGACGACGUGGCUAUCUCAAUUAGCUGAACGACACCGUCGGAAAUGGUUUUUCAAGCAGGAUGGGAAUAUAUUUCACUCCCCCUAAGCUGUAGAAUACAUGUUCAUUACUCCCAGCUUGUGUAGUAGGGAUUGCAGCCAAUGUCUAGAUAAUGACUUCGUAAACAAAUAUGUAAGCUGCAAUUCACUGGAAACAUGUGUAACAUAAGUUUUGUCAAAAGACAUUGUCGAAUGACAUGUAAAUUCAUCUUUAUGUGCUGUCCUUUCUUAAAAUAUAGGAUUCUAUAUAAUAUAAAUAGUCAAUUGAUUAUCACAAUAGAGUGUUGUUGGUCAGAGAUGCUAAAUGCUUAGAUUUCCAAGGAGUGGCUUCAACCACACAAUUUCACAAGAUAGUGUAGUAGCCAAAUUUUGUCAGGGUGGUCGAACUUUUAACUAUUUUAUAACAUCUAUUUUCAUAGGAAUUUUUUCCUUAUUUCUUCUAUUUAUCAAAUAUAUACUCAUAAAUUUUACGAAUGCACGACAAAUAGUAAUUGGCUAUAUAAAUUAUGGGCCCACUAGAAUGUUGAGUUUUUAUAAUUUAUAAGGGCCCAUUAGAAUAUGAGUUUUUACCAAUUGGUGUAAAACUAUAUAGUAAAACAUGGACUGUAAAUAGCGAUUAGCAAACGACAAUUGAUUUUCAGAAAGUCUUACACCAAACGCAAGGCUACUAGAAACGAUGAGCACAUACACGGAUGGGUUUUCACAUUCAAGUCAGUAUUUGCAUUUACCUUCGUCUCGUGUCAGGAGGCAGCCAUUUCAAAAUCUUAGUUUAUCACCUCUUCUCUAACGAUGUUUCGUAGCUUGAUAAAGGCAGAAAAGGAGUGGUUAGAUCUGAUCUUAAAUUGGAAAAAUUGAAUUGAGAAGGAAGAACAAUCUACCUUUCUUUUGUAGCUUGGAUCGACAGAAGAACAACACCAUCGACGGCGGGGACCACGAUUUUUUUGGCAGUGACCUCGAACAAUGGUUUGGUAAGAUUGACGGCGGACCAGUGCCGGCGACACAAAUCCGACAACAGGUGAACGAUAGUGAAAUCAACCUUGAAUGCAAAGCGACGGUGGCUACAUCGAUAAGAGCUAAAAUGAGAGAUUGUGUUUUUUUUAGUUCACCGAUCAGAAAACAAAAGACAAGCAGAGGACUGAAACACGAAGAAGAUAUCAAAUGAGCUUACAAAAAAACAGCAAGUUGGUCAACGUUAGAAUGGAGAAGAUAAGAGAAUAAAGAAUCACAGAGUUUCAUUUUGUUGUUAUUUCGUUGUGCAAAUUGAUGCCACGUGUUUGGCUUAUUU